CCUACGGGAGGCAGCAGUGGGGGAUAUUGCACAAUGGGGGGAACCCUGAUGCAGCGACGCCGCGUGGGUGAAGAAGCGCCUCGGCGCGUAAAGCCCUGUCAGCAGGGAAGAAAAUGACGGUACCUGCAGACGAAGCCCCGGCUAACUCCGUGCCAGCCGCCGCGGUAAUACGUAGGGGGCAAGCGUUAUCCGGAUUUACUGGGUGUAAGGGGGGCGCAGACGGCGAUGCAAGCCAGGAGUGAAAGCCCGGGGCCCAACCCCGGGACUGCUCUUGGAACUGCGUGGCUGGAGUGCAGGAGGGGCAGGCGGAAUUCCUGGUGUAGCGGUGAAAUGCGUAGAUAUCAGGAGGAACACCGGUGGCGAAGGCGGCCUGCUGGACUGCAACUGACGUUGAGGCCCGAAAGCGUGGGGAGCAAACAGGAUUAGAUACCCCAGUAGUC
rnacentral:rRNA from 1 species